UGGGGAAUAUUGGACAAUGGGCGAAAGCCUGAUCCAGCCAUGCCGCGUGUGUGAAGAAGGUCUUCGGAUUGUAAAGCACUUUACGUUGGGAGGAAAGGCAUUAACCUAAUACGUUAGUGUUUUGACGUUACCGACAGAAUAAGCACCGGCUAACUCUGUGCCAGCAGCCGCGGUAAUACAGAGGGUGCAAGCGUUAAUCGGACUUACUGGGCGUAAAGCGCGCGUAGGUGGUUUGUUAAGUUGGAUGUGAAAUCCCCGGGCUCAACCUGGGAACUGCAUUCAAAACUGACUGACUAGAGUAUGGUAGAGGGUGGUGGAAUUUCCUGUGUAGCGGUGAAAUGCGUAGAUAUAGGAAGGAACACCAGUGGCGAAGGCGACCACCUGGACUAAUACUGACACUGAGGUGCGAAAGCGUGGGGAGCAAACA
rnacentral:rRNA from 1 species